GACGAACGCUGGCGGCGUGCUUAACACAUGCAAGUCGAACGGAAAGGCCCUGCUUUUGUGGGGUGCUCGAGUGGCGAACGGGUGAGUAACACGUGAGUAACCUGCCCUUGACUUUGGGAUAACUUCAGGAAACUGGGGCUAAUACCGGAUAGGAGCUCCUGCUGCAUGGGGGGGGUUGGAAAGUUUCGGCGGUUGGGGAUGGACUCGCGGCUUAUCAGCUUGUUGGUGGGGUAGUGGCUUACCAAGGCUUUGACGGGUAGCCGGCCUGAGAGGGUGACCGGCCACAUUGGCACUGGGAUACGGCCCAGACUCCUACGGGAGGCAGCAGAGGGGAAUAUUGCACAAUGGGCGGAAGCCUGAUGCAGCAACGCCGCGUGCGGGAUGACGGCCUUCGGGUUGUAAACCGCCUUCGCCUGUGACGAAGCGUGAGUGACGGUAAUGGGUAAAGAAGCACCGGCUAACUACGUG
rnacentral:rRNA from 1 species